GGAAGGGUGGCCGAGUGGCUUAAGGCGCCGCUCUCGAAAAGCGGUAGACCCUAACGGGUCUCGUGAGUUCAAAUCUCACCCCUUCCG
rnacentral:tRNA from 1 species